CUGCUUCUUAUGUAAGUUUUCCUCCUUCACACAAUUUUCUCUUCUGAAGGAAAAUGAAGCAUUUGUUUUUUGUUGUAAAAAGAGAUUCUUGAAAGAGUUAACAAAAAACAAAAGCUUUUCUUGCAAUUUGAAAGAUCUUGGUGACAUGUCAUUUUUCCAGAAAAAAAGUCUGCAAUAGCUCAGGAUUUCCAUGAGUAGUCUGGAUUUCGUGGGAGGAAAGAUGAUGGCAGGAAGUAACUGAGUACAUCUACAGCUGAUUGUCUCAACCUUCCUGGCUCUGAACUAUGUGUGCUAAGUGCUGCCCUAUGUGCAUUUUCAUACAAAGCAGUUUCUUGAAUUAAUAGAAUACAGCAGAAAGGGAUUUGAACUUCCACUCAUCCUGCUACCACUGAUGUGCACCGUAAUUGCCAGGCACAGACAACACAGUCUACUUGUCUCUAUUUUCUUCCUUCGUGAGUCAGAGAGAAUACAAUGAGCGAGCAGUAGUUAGAAUUGGUCAGAUUAGUAAAUGAAUAAGCUAUUUAGUGUAAUGAAUAAAGCAUUAUUCAAAGUCUGCUUUUUAAAUACCCUUUUCCUCAGCUCAGUGAGCCUUGAAAAAAGGCAUAUCAGAAACUAGACAUUACUAGACAUUACUUCCAAGCUGAAUUUACCCCUUUACAAGGGGUCUCCGUUUACAGAAAAAGCAGAUCAAUACAUUGAAAAAGGUAACAGUAUGAAUGACUGCAAGAAAAGUAGAGAAACAAAAUCUGUGGUUCACAUGUGUUGCUCUGUUGUGCUCAUGGGUGAGCAUUCACAUGAGCAGAGAUGCCUUUAUUUUGCCCACUAAAAUUCUCCUUAUGUUUUCUUUCCAGCAAGUGGAGAAACUCCUCCAGACGUAGUCGCUGCAGAAGCCUGGGGUCAGUGCACAGCUCGCUGCCUGCGGGAACCACCUUCUUUACAGGCUUCUGAAAAAUAAGCACAUUGCUCAGCCAUGUUAGGUCUUUCAUGUUGCGUGCUCCACACUAAAGAAAUAAGCUAGCAUUGUGAAAGAGACUGCCUGGUGACCGUCCCACCAUCUCUGUUGCUCACAGGAAACCACUACUGCUGCACUUGGGACAACACUGAUUCUUCUGUGUCUGAAGUUGUGGCUUCAAAUUGCAGUAAAGCUGAUAAAAUAACCAGCUGCUGUGAAAAGAAGUGUCCUCAUACUUCCCCUCUUGCAUGUAAUCUCCCUUGUGCUAGCUGUGGUCUGUGCCUGGUCCCAUGGUAAACUGGUGCAGGGAGAUGGCCAGCAACAUGCCACCCUCCUCAAAGAAGUAGUUCUCAGUGUGGAGUUGUCUUAGUCAAGUUUGUCAUUAAACAGCAGCAAGCACAAGAAACUACUGAGCAUUUUUUUCACAUGUGCAGGAAAAGAUUGAGGUUGUUUUAUUAUUUUACAAACCAAAAGAUCCAAAAUACCCCGUAUGGUAUUUUAUUACAUUAUCUCUUAUUCCUUGGAACCUAUCAUAGAA
rnacentral:lncRNA from 1 species